rnacentral:rRNA from 1 species
AGUGAACGCUGGCGGUAGGCCUAACACAUGCAAGUCGAACGGCAGCGCAGUAAGAGCUUGCUCUUACGGGUGGCGAGUGGCGGACGGGUGAGGAAUACAUCGGAAUCUACUUUUUCGUGGGGGAUAACGUAGGGAAACUUACGCUAAUACCGCAUGCGACCUACGGGUGAAAGCAGGGGAUCUUCGGACCUUGCGCGAUUGAAUGAGCCGAUGUCGGAUUAGCUAGUUGGCGGGGUAAAGGCCCACCAAGGCGACGAUCCGUAGCUGGUCUGAGAGGAUGAUCAGCCACACUGGAACUGAGACACGGUCCAGACUCCUACGGGAGGCAGCAGUGGGGAAUAUUGGACAAUGGGCGCAAGCCUGAUCCAGCCAUACCGCGUGGGUGAAGAAGGCCUUCGGGUUGUAAAGCCCUUUUGUUGGGAAAGAAAAGCAGCAGGUUAAUACCCCGCUGUUCUGACGGUACCCAAAGAAUAAGCACCGGCUAACUUCGUG